UUUCAUGUGAUGACACAACCACAGUCCUGAAGGAGACGAAGCACAGUGAAACGCACUUUACCCUCUGCAACUCGUGGACAAUACUGCGGGAGAAGCCGAGACCAAGAGACAGCACAACCAGAUUCUAAAUUACAAGUUCCCUCUCUCAUUCUUUUUCCUCUACUUUCCCACUGUAAAUAACUGCGUUGAAUAAAUUUCAGAAAAGUGGCUCUGUUGUUAUUAUUUUAUUUUCCACUGACAACCUUCAACACAAAGGUACAUACAAAAACAAAACAAAACAAAAACAUUAAGACGGAGGGAGAGAACAGCGUGGGAAGCGAAGCGCGCGAUAAAGCAGCUUCACCUUCAGGUGAGGGAGAAAGCCGUACGAGAGAGCACAGUGUGACCACUGUCACAGCGACACAGACUGAUGCCGCUCUUGUUCAGACUCCUCCUUUUGGGUGACACUCCAUGUUCCUCUAAAUCUGAGCCAGAAGCUUCUCUCAUUAGAUGACACAACCACAGUCCAUUCCACCUGCUUCUCUCUAAUGCUGAGUGCGCUCUGAGCCUUUUCCAGACGAGGAAACGGAGCGUUAUGAGCUGAGUGUGGCCCUCCUCCUCGUUUGACCACUGACAGUCUAUGUAACUACUGAAAAGAAGAACAAGGAGUCUUGUAGUCAUGUGGGAUUACAUGAGGAGACAGAGGACACUGAGAAGGCCUAAAUCCACUGAAGAACUGUGGCAGCUUCUCUAAAAUGCCUUGAACAAGCUCCUUGACAAAUACCUUGAAAAACUGUGCACAACUGUACUGAGGAGAACUGGUGCUGGUUUAGAGGCAAAGUGUGGUCACAGAAAAUAUUAACAUGAUUAAGGCUUUUCUAUUUAAUGCAUUUCAUAUGUUUUUGAAUGAUAAAUGCAGACUAUUUGGGGUCUUAUUUUUGAAAGCAUCCUCAAAUUUCUUCACAAGGGCUUACAGCUUUUACACAGUAUUCUGUAAUGUAUUUAUGCAAAUUAUUUUAAGAACUUUUGACCAAAUAAUUUCCCCCAACAAACAGAGACCCUGGCUUAUAGGUGCCCCCUGACCCAUUGGCCUCCUGUUUCUAAUAGCCCCAUAAAAUGACCCAUCCAUGAACACAGAUCUGACCCCACUACAGUUUAAGUUCCUGUCCUCUUGGCUUGGCAGUGCCCAUUUGACGGGCUGACUGUAAAAAUGAUCCAGUGUACAAUAACCAUUGUGUUUCUGCAUGUUGCAGUGACCACCUGUAGCACCAACCCACACACUCUGUGCUUGUUUCACACUGAAGGUAAAAUCUUUUCAUUGAUGAAUACAUUUCAUAAAAGCUUCACUGGGUCAUGUUUAUAUUUAAAUGAAUGUUGCUGUGAUAGUUGCUUCACAUACUGAACUCUUGAAGAAAAACAGACUCAGAACUUAGAAUUAGAAGUUUAGAACUUUGAAUUGUUCAUGACAUCAUAUGGUGCUAUAGAACAUCAUGCCACAUAAAAAGAGCAUAAGAGGUGGAAUCUGCACAUUUACCAAGUUCAAGUCAAGAAGAAACAGACCUGAAUUGUGAUCAGAUCUACAACUUUCCUACGACGAACAUUAACCGUGUGAGACGACACAGAGCGAUGGAUACCUCAAGUUCAUCAUCGUCUUCUUACUCCCCUGAGCCAAUCCCCCGACACUGGCUCCCAAUCCCCAGGAACUACAAGUUUCUAAAAGUUCUGGGACAAGGUGGCUACGGGACUGUUGUCAAAUGUGUAAAACAGCAAACCGGAGAGAUCAGGGCCAUAAAGUACGCCUAUUACGAUGAUGACCUCUGCCGAAAAGCCUACAUCAUGAGAUUCCUAACAAGCCACAACCUCGACAAGUUCAACAAGUCAAAUAUUAUAGUGAGCUCAUCACUUGCGGACAGAUGAGCCUGGUAUAUGAAAUGUUAGACAUUAACCUGCAGAAUUACCUCCUGGAUCUACAAGGCCCAAUGCGUCUUCAGGAUAUCAGGACUAUUAUUCAGCAGUUGGCAACAGCUUUUGACGCCCUGAAGAGAGUUGGCCUGAUCCACUCUGAUGUAAAAACCAACAACAUCAUGAUGGUGGAUCAUGCAAGUCAGCCCUUCAGGGUCAAAUGAUCGACUUUGGCUUGGCUAUUUUCAGAUCGCAAGCCAAGCCGGGCAGGAUUCAACAUACACCACAAUAUAGAGCACCAGAAAUCACGCUGGGACUAGCAUUUUCAGAGGCCUCUGACAUCUGGUCGCUGGGCUGUGUAAUGGCCAUCAUGGUCUUUGGCGUCAUGCUCUUCCCAGCUAGAAAUGAAUAUGAUGCACUCCAACACAUCACCGACCUCCUCGGUCCGCCACCUGAGCAUCUGAUCAGUGCUGGGAUGAGAUCUCAUCUUUUUUAUGAAAAACAAGAUUCUGGCAAGUGGAUCAUCAAGUGAUAAACCACAAGCAAGCGGCAACAAGACCAAGACCAGGAUGGAGACAGCCCAGGAGGAUGAUAAUGAACCCCUGCCAUUGGGUGUCAUCAUGGUGCGGGAAGCACGCCCCGAGAACAGAAUAUCCCUGGAAGAGACAUCUGAGGAGGACCGUGAUGUGAGGUGUAGAUGCUUUACCAGACAAAGGAUUUCAGUGAUGACAGAGAAGACGUGUUUGAUCCAGACCAGAUGAGAAGGAUGGAUGACCACAGGACAAACUGGAGAGAGUCGUGUGUCUUCAGCGGUUCUGGAGCAACUGAGAGUGGACAGCAACCACUGUCAGCAGCCUGUAUCGCUCCAGGCACCAAACACAGUCUGAAGAGCCAGUGAGUACCAUGUUGACCUCCCUGCCCCUCCACCCCAACACCACCUCUACAGUUAAUUCGUAGAGACUGGAAGUAUUAAUUUGUUUGUUUUGCAUUUAACUUAAUAAUGAAUUCAAUAAAAUAGUCACAAACGAAACAACAGUGUUUUUGAAG